ACCUGGAAUAGCAGAGUUAGUAGAGCACGAGACUCUUAAUCUCAGGGCCGUGGGUUUGAACCCAACAUUGGGCA